rnacentral:rRNA from 1 species
UCCAGACCCUACGGGAGGCAGCAGUGGGGAAUAUUGCGCAAUGGGCAAAAGCCUGACGCAGCGACGCCGCGUGAGGGAUGAAGGUUUUCGGAUCGUAAACCUCUGUCAGAAGGGAAGAAAGUGCGUGGUGCUAAUCAGCCGCGUAUUGACAGUACCUUCAAAGGAAGCACCGGCUAACUCCGUGCCAGCAGCCGCGGUAAUACGGAGGGUGCGAGCGUUAAUCGGAAUUACUGGGCGUAAAGCGCACGUAGGCUGUUGUGUAAGUCAGGGGUGAAAUCCCACGGCUCAACCGUGGAACUGCCCUUGAUACUGCAUGACUGGAAUCCGGGAGAGGGUGGCGGAAUUCCAGGUGUAGGAGUGAAAUCCGUAGAUAUCUGGAGGAACAUCAGUGGCGGAGGCGACUAUCUGGCACAUAACUGACGCUGAGGAGCGAAAGCGUGGGUAGCAAACAGGAUUAGAUACCCGUGUA